CGACGACCGGCGGAUGGGUGCGUAACGCGUAUGCAACUUGCCUCACAGAGGAGAAUAACCCGGAGAAAUCCGGACUAAUGCUCCAUACACUCUUUAGUACGCCUGUGCUUAAGAGGAAAGAUUUAUCGCUGUGAGAUAGGCAUGCGUCCUAUUAGGUAGUUGGUGAGGUAACGGCUCACCAAGCCGACGAUAGGUAGGGGUGCUGAGAGGCAGAUCCCCCACAUUGGGACUGAGACACGGCCCAAACUCC
rnacentral:rRNA from 1 species